ensembl:misc_RNA Metazoa_SRP Metazoan signal recognition particle RNA
GCCAGGUGAGGUGGUACGUGCCUGUAGUCCAAGCUGCUCGGGAGGCUGAGGCUGGACGAUCGCUUGAGCCCACGAGUUCUGGACUGUAGUGUGCUAUGCUGAUCGGGUGUCUGCACUAAGUUUGGCAUCAAUAUGGUGACCUCUAGGGAGCGGGGGAGCACCAGGUUGCCUAAGGAGGGGUGAACCGGCCCAGCAGAAACGGAGCAGGUCGAAACUCCCAUGCUGAUCAGUAGUGGGAUCGCACCUGUGAAUAGCCACCGCACUCCAUCCUGGGCAACAUAGCGAGACCCUGUCUCUU